rnacentral:lncRNA from 1 species
AUGGCAGAAGAAUGGCAGAACAGCCCCAUGGCAAGACUUGUAGGACUAAAGCACCAUGAAUUUCUACCAAACGCUGUGAGUAUGCUUGCUUCAUCUCAUUUUUUCCACUCUCUGUCAAGACUAGUGGGUAAGAAUCCUCCACAAGGGAAACACUGGGGCAAAAGUACUAAGAGAAUCUGCUGGGAAAAGGUGAAAAGGAGUUGGGUGGUGUUGUCUGUAAGAGUGGAUGUGAUGAUGCCCCAAAUUGCAGGUGUAUUUAGGAUGUUGGCAGCAGUGUUUUCUUUGCGUAACUCUGCUUCAUGGUAUGAGUGGUGAGAGGCAGUCAGAAAGCUCACCUGGCUGUCUGCUCAACAGGGAUCACACUGAACCUCUAUUUCAGUAGCGAAAAAAUGGUGAAUAUAUGAUGUCUGACUGUCUGCUAGCAGUCAGUUUGGGAUUGCAGUUUUUGUGGGAAGAAUGAUGGAACUGAGCAGAUAGCUGGCCUUCUAUUUGUCCCUGAAAAGCAGCUUAUGCUACCAUGGCUUGGAGUCGCAGAAUCAUGGAAUCAUAGAAUGGCCUGGGUUGGAAGGGGCCUCAAGUAUCAUGAAGCUCCAACCCUCACGGCCACCAUCCUCCAAAUUUAGUACUAGACCAGGCUGCCCAGGGCCCCAUCCAACCUGGCCUUGAACACCUCCAGGGAUGGGGCAUCCACAACCUGGAAGGUCUUCUUGGAAGAUCUGGGCGUUCACUUAGGGACUACCUAAGUUCAGUAACUCCUCUGCUAUCCAUAGAAGUACAUGGAAAUUGUGAGUAAAUGAUACUACAGCACAUCAACCAAUAUUAGCACUGCUGCUAAUGCUGAUGGAGGUAAAUGAAUAGAUGUAAGAAAAACUGGGAAGUUAGAAGACACAAAGUUGUCCUGAAACAUUUGCUGAGAGUUUUACUCACGUAAGUGUUUCCAUGUGUUAAAGUGGGACUGUUCAUGCACAUGAAUACAUCUUUGAAGGAUUCACUCUUUAGCAACGUCACCUUUUUCACUUUAGAAGAUUUUAAUGUGACUGUUGUACUUUCUUGAAAAGACAAACAGAUAUUUUACUGUAGUAUUCUUUUCUUCUACAUCUUUUUAGUUGUUUUACAUAAACUGCUUU